CCUACGGGGGGCUGCAGUGGGGAAUAUUGCACAAUGGGCGCAAGCCUGAUGCAGCCGUGCCGCGUGUGUGAAGAAGGCCUUCGGGUUGUAAAGCACUUUCAGCGGGGAGGAAGGCGUUAAGGUUAAUAACCUUGUCGAUUGACGUUACCCGCAGAAGAAGCACCGGCUAACUCCGUGCCAGCAGCCGCGGUAAUACGGAGGGUGCAAGCGUUAAUCGGAAUUACUGGGCGUAAAGCGCACGCAGGCGGUCUGUCAAGUCGGAUGUGAAAUCCCCGGGCUCAACCUGGGAACUGCAUUCGAAACUGGCAGGCUAGGGUCUUGUAGAGGGGGGUAGAAUUCCAGGUGUAGCGGUGAAAUGCGUAGAGAUCUGGAGGAAUACCGGUGGCGAAGGCGGCCCCCUGGACAAAGACUGACGCUCAGGUGCGAAAGCGUGGGGAGCAAACAGGAUUAGAUACCCGGGUAGUC
rnacentral:rRNA from 1 species